rnacentral:misc_RNA from 1 species
AACCGACUUCAAUUUCAUCGACAAGUAAUACAACGUAGAUCGACGAAAAAAUAGUCAAGUAACUACGCGUUAUCAAAGAUUACUCAAAAAGUAGUUAUCAGAUCUCGAUAAAAUUUAUAUGUGACCACAUGAUAAACAUCAGCUUUCGAUUAAAUUAAAAAUUAUCAAAAUCGGUACACCCAGUAAAAAGUUAUUACGGAUUUUCGAGAGUUUCCCUCGAUUUCUCUAGGAUUCCAUCAUCAGAUCCUGGUUUCCUUAUCAUGGUACCAAACUAU